UGGGGAAUUUUCCGCAAUGGGCGAAAGCCUGAUGGAGCAAUACCGCGUGAGGGAGGAAGGCUCUUGGGUUGUAAACCUCUUUUCUGGGGGAAGAAGUCCUGACGGUACCCAAGGAAUCAGCAUCGGCCAACUCCGUGCCAGCAGCCGCGGUAAUACGGAGGAUGCAAGCGUUAUCCGGAAUUAUUGGGCGUAAAGCGUCCGGAGGUGGAGCGCCAAGUCAGCUGUCAAAGACCGGAGCUUAACUCCGGGCAGGCAGUGGAAACUGGCGAACUAGAGUACGGUAGGGGUAGGGGGAAUUCCCAGUGUAGCGGUGAAAUGCGUAGAGAUUGGGAAGAACACCAGUGGCGAAGGCGCUCUACUGGGCCGUAACUGACACUCAGGGACGAAAGCUAGGGGAGCGAAAGGGAUUAGAUACCCCCGUAGUCC
rnacentral:rRNA from 1 species